CACUUGUAAUAGAGACCUUCACCUGAAAGGUUAUAUAAAUGACAUUGCACCACAGAGGUCAAUGCCAACUACUUUCUUGUGAAUGACAAAUAAGGAUAUUUUACAUCAAGACAACAAAGCUAGAAAUGCCAACAAAGGACCUAUUUGAUUGAAUAUCAAAUAUUACAUAACACAAAUGAAAAACAAAUAAUGCAUAUUACUUAUAAGGUCAUAUUACAGGAAAGAAGGGUUAUAAAGUUCACAGUUCAUGCCCCAAAUGCCAAGCACCUAGCUAGUGUGGUAUGCCAAUGCAAAAAAUUAGGAUUAAUUAAAGUUAAGUUCAGCAAGUCAGGCAAGGAUAUAUAAGCCUUUAUGCACUACUAGAAAUAGAAGGGUCAUAUUACAGGAAAGAAGGGUUAUAAAGUUCACAGUUCAUGCCCCAAAUGCCAAGCACCUAGCUAGUGUGGUAUGCCAAUGCAAAAAAUUAGGAUUAAUUAAAGUUAAGUUCAGCAAGUCAGGCAAGGAUAUAUAAGCCUUUAUGCACUACUAGAAAUAG
rnacentral:misc_RNA from 1 species